CAUUUCAGUGCAAAUCAGAGUUCAAGUCAAAGUUGGAAGUGAAAUGCUCAGCUUGACCAAGAAACACAUUGGUUUAUUUACCCUUUUAUAACUAACAAACAGCAGGUAUUUCUUAGAAAACCAGCUCAAAGGACAGCCCAACACUUCUCUCCUCAAUGUAAUUUAAUUUCUGGAGAAGAGUAAGAGUUAGUAUCUCACUUGUAAUUGUACUAUGCAUAUACAGACACCUUUGUGUCCACCACAAUAACAAACACUGUGAUGAAAUAGCCUGUCCAGCAGCGAACACCACAUUCUACAGUUAUUCAGACACAUUCACAAGUAUUACUGGCCACAAGAUCUGUGAUAGGUAAGGGCACAAACUGAGCCGUUUUCAUGCACAGGGAACACUACUUGAUCUGACUUUUUUUUUUAAUUACAACAAAAAAAUAUACAUACUUAUAAUAUUGCAUCUGCCAGCAACACUGGAAUCUAAUAGAAAUCAGAGCUUAUACCCAAGCAUUUGCUGUGGGUUUCCCUUAACAUGAGCAAUCUAAACAGCAGGUUCUUAUAGCAAACUAAUCACACAGGCUCACUUCUCACUCAGAUAGCUCAAUUAGCUGACCUCUGGAGUGCCUCUCCUGUUCAUGCACCCUGACAUGCUGCAAUUUACCUCUAGAGAGAGACUAACCUAAAUAAAACCCUCAUUUACAGAUGUUCUAAGCUCUUGAGACACCUUUUCCCAGAUGUCAGCAAGGAUACUGCUCCUACUGUUCCUCCCAAAGGCUGUGUGAUGCUCAGAGUGCUCUGCUCAUCACUCACAGGCCGUCAAGACCUGCAGGUCUGAGUAUUACUGAGAAACAGAAAAACCUCAACAAUCUUCCUGGACUUUGCCAGCAGUCCAAGAACCCUGGUGUCUCCACAUUUCAGCAGCCAAGCACCCAAGAGUACUGCUGAAGUAAAUCAAGAUACUGUCAUUUUAGGAAAACUUAAGAAACAUGAAGACAACAAUUUGAUUUCAAAUACA
rnacentral:lncRNA from 1 species